GCAACCGUAGCUCAGAUGGUUCAGAGCGCCUGACUGUGGAUCAGGAGGUCAAGGGUUCGACUCCCCUCGGUUGUA
rnacentral:tRNA from 1 species